UGGGAGGUUGUGCCCUUGAGGCGUGGCUUCCGGAGCUAACGCGUUAAAUCGACCGCCUGGGGAGUACGGCCGCAAGGUUAAAACUCAAAUGAAUUGACGGGGGCCCGCACAAGCGGUGGAGCAUGUGGUUUAAUUCGAUGCAACGCGAAGAACCUUACCUACUCUUGACAUCCAGAGAACUUUCCAGAGAUGGAUUGGUGCCUUCGGGAACUCUGAGACAGGUGCUGCAUGGCUGUCGUCAGCUCGUGUUGUGAAAUGUUGGGUUAAGUCCCGCAACGAGCGCAACCCUUAUCCUUUGUUGCCAGCGGUUCGGCCGGGGACUCAAAGGAGACUGCCAGUGAUAAACUGGAGGAAGGUGGGGAUGACGUCAAGUCAUCAUGGCCCUUACGAGUAGGGCUACACACGUGCUACAAUGGCAUAUACAAAGAGAAGCGACCUCGCGAGAGCAAGCGGACCUCAUAAAGUAUGUCGUAGUCCGGAUUGGAGUCUGCAACUCGACUCCAUGAAGUCGGAAUCGCUAGUAAUCGUAGAUCAGAAUGCUACGGUGAAUACGUUCCCGGGCCUUGUACACACCGCCCGUCACACCAUGGGAGUGGGUUGCAAAAGAAGUAGGUAGCUUAACCUUCGGGAGGGCGCUUACCACUUUGUGAUUCAUGACUGGGGUGAAGUCGUAACAAGGUAACC
rnacentral:rRNA from 1 species